AUUGAACGCUGGCGGCAUGCCUUACACAUGCAAGUCGAACGGCAGCACGGGAGCAAUCCUGGUGGCGAGUGGCGAACGGGUGAGUAAUAUAUCGGAACGUGCCCAGUCGUGGGGGAUAACGUAGCGAAAGCUACGCUAAUACCGCAUACGAUCUAUGGAUGAAAGCGGGGGAUCGCAAGACCUCGCGCGAUUGGAGCGGCCGAUAUCAGAUUAGGUAGUUGGUGAGGUAAAAGCUCACCAAGCCGACGAUCUGUAGCUGGUUUGAGAGAACGACCAGCCACACUGGGACUGAGACACGGCCCAGACUCCUACGGGAGGCAGCAGUGGGGAAUAUUGGACAAUGGGCGCAAGCCUGAUCCAGCCAUGCCGCGUGCAGGAAGACGGUCCUAUGGAUUGUAAACUGCUUUUAUACAGGAAGAAACACUCCCUCGUGAGGGAACUUGACGGUACUGUAUGAAUAAGCAUCGGCUAACC
rnacentral:rRNA from 1 species